ACUCCUACGGGAGGCAGCAGUGGGGAAUAUUGCACAAUGGGCGCAAGCCUGAUGCAGCCAUGCCGCGUGUGUGAAGAAGGCCUUCGGGUUGUAAAGCACUUUCAGUCAGGAGGAAAGGUUAGUAGUUAAUACCUGCUAGCUGUGACGUUACUGACAGAAGAAGCACCGGCUAACUCC
rnacentral:rRNA from 1 species